rnacentral:rRNA from 1 species
GAGACAGGUGCUGCAUGGCUGUCGUCAGCUCGUGUCGUGAGAUGUUGGGUUAAGUCCCGCAACGAGCGCAACCCUUGUCGUAUGUUGCCAGCAAGUAAUGUUGGGCACUCAUACGAGACCGCCGGUGAUAAGCCGGAGGAAGGUGGGGACGACGUCAAGUCAUCAUGGCCCUUACGCGUAGGGCUACAAACGUGCUACAAUGGCAGUGACAGUGGGCCGCAACACAGCAAUGUGAAGCUAAUCCCCAAAAGCUGUCUCAGUUCAGAUUGUCCUCUGCAACUCGAGGGCAUGAAGCUGGAAUCGCUAGUAAUCGUGAAUCAGCAUGUCACGGUGAAUACGUUCCCGGGUCUUGUACACACCG